UGGCAUAGAGUUUGAUCCUGGCUCAGAUUGAACGCUGGCGGCAUGCCUAACACAUGCAAGUCGAACGGGGUGUAGCAAUACACCUAGUGGCGGACGGGUGAGGAAUACAUAGGAAUUUGCCCUUAAGUGGGGGAUAGUCCGGGGAAACUCGGUUUAAUACCGCAUGAUCUCGUAAGAGAAAAGCUAGGUUGUAAGAUCUGGCACUUCGAGAGGAGCCUGCGUCCGAUUAGCUAGUUGGGAGGGUAAGAGCCUAGCAAGGCGAUGAUCGGUAGCUGGUCUGAGAGGAUGAUCACCCACACUGGGACUGAGACACGGCCCACACUCCUACGGGAGGCAGCAGUGGGGAAUAUUGGACGAUGGGGGCAACCCUGAUCCAGCAAUGCCGCGUGUGUGAAGAANGCCUUCGGGUUGUAAAGCACUUUUGGCAGGGAGGAANGUAUGAAUUUUAAAAGAUAUCAUAUUUGACUGUACCUGCAAAAUAAGCGCCGGCUAACUCUGUGCCAGCAGCCGCGGUAAACGGAGGGUGCAAGCGUUAAUCGGAAUUACUGGGCGUGAAGGGCCCGUAGGCGGGUUAGUAAGAGAGAUGUGAAAUCCCUGGGCUUAACGCAUGAAAUGCCUUUCGUACUGGGUGACUAAAGUAUUGUGAAGGGGUAGGGGAUUGUCCGNGGAACCGGGGAAAUUGCUAAAGAAUGGGGAGGACCCGGUNUGGCAAGGGGCCGCCNCCGUAACGUUCUGGACGCCCUCUCUNCAAGCGCGGGGCGCAGCGAUGNUCUUCCCGCGCGGGGANGUCUCUNCCGGUUCCGUUUACCCGUCAGGCNCCCGGAUCCGCGCGCCCCCAGC
rnacentral:rRNA from 1 species